rnacentral:misc_RNA from 1 species
GAUGAAGAACGUAGCGAAAUGCGAUAAGUAAUGUGAAUUGCAGAAUUCAGUGAAUCAUCGAAUCUUUGAACGCACAUUGCGCCCUUUGGUAUUCCGAAGGGCAUGCCUGUUCGAGCGUCAUUUCACCACUCAAGCCUGGCUUGGUAUUGGGCGCCGCGGUCGAUCCGCGCGCCUCAAAGUCUCCGGCUGAGCUGUCCGUCCCUAAGCGUUGUGAUUUCAUUAAUCGCUUCGGAGUGCGGGCGGCCGCGGCCGUUAAAUCUUUCACAAGGUUGACCUCGGAUCAGGUAGGGAUACCCGCUGAACUUAAGCAUAUCAAUAAGCGGAGGA